GAUGAACGCUGGCGGCGUGCCUAAUACAUGCAAGUCGAGCGAACGGACGAGAAGCUUGCUUCUCUGAUGUUAGCGGCGGACGGGCGAGUAACACGUGGAUAACCUACCUAUAAGACUGGGGUAACUUCGGGAAACCGGAGCUAAUACCGGAUAAUAUUUUGAACCGCAUGGUUCAAAAGUGAAAGACGGUCUUGCUGUCACUUAUAGAUGGAUCCGCGCUGCAUUAGCUAGUUGGUAAGGUAACGGCUUACCAAGGCAACGAUGCAUAGCCGACCUGAGAGAGUGAUCGGCCACACUGGAACUGAGACACGGUCCAGACUCCUACGGGAGGCAGCAGUAGGGAAUCUUCCGCAAUGGGCGAAAGCCUGACGGAGCAACGCCGCGUGAGUGAUGAAGGUCUUCGGAUCGUAAAACUCUGUUAUUAGGGAAGAACAUAUGUGUAAGUAACUGUGCACAUCUUGACGGUACCUAAUCAGAAAGCCACGGCUAACUACGUGCCAGCAGCCGCGGUAAUACGUAGGUGGCAAGCGUUAUCCGGAAUUAUUGGGCGUAAAGCGCGCGUAGGCGGUUUUUUAAGUCUGAUGUGAAAGCCCACGGCUCAACCGUGGAGGGUCAUUGGAAACUGGAAAACUUGAGUGCAGAAGAGGAAAGUGGAAUUCCAUGUGUAGCGGUGAAAUGCGCAGAGAUAUGGAGGAACACCAGUGGCGAAGGCGACUUUCUGGUCUGUAACUGACGCUGAUGUGCGAAAGCGUGGGGAUCAAACAGGAUUAGAUACCCUGGUAGUCCACGCCGUAAACGAUGAGUGCUAAGUGUUAGGGGGUUUCCGCCCCUUAGUGCUGCAGCUAACGCAUUAAGCACUCCGCCUGGGGAGUACGACCGCAAGGUUGAAACUCAAGGGAAUUGACGGGGACCCGCACAAGCGGUGGAGCAUGUGGUUUAAUUCGAAGCAACGCGAAGAACCUUACCAAAUCUUGACAUCCUUUGACAACUCUAGAGAUAGAGCCUUCCCCUUCGGGGGACAAAGUGACAGGUGGUGCAUGGUUGUCGUCAGCUCGUGUCGUGAGAUGUUGGGUUAAGUCCCGCAACGAGCGCAACCCUUAAGCUUAGUUGCCAUCAUUAAGUUGGGCACUCUAAGUUGACUGCCGGUGACAAACCGGAGGAAGGUGGGGAUGACGUCAAAUCAUCAUGCCCCUUAUGAUUUGGGCUACACACGUGCUACAAUGGACAAUACAAAGGGCAGCGAAACCGCGAGGUCAAGCAAAUCCCAUAAAGUUGUUCUCAGUUCGGAUUGUAGUCUGCAACUCGACUACAUGAAGCUGGAAUCGCUAGUAAUCGUAGAUCAGCAUGCUACGGUGAAUACGUUCCCGGGUCU
rnacentral:rRNA from 1 species